AAGAAUGCUCAGACAUGCAGAGAAGAAGGCCAUGCGAAGAUGGAGGAAGAGAAUAGAGCGAUACAGCUACAAGCCAAAGAAAGGCCUGGACUGCCAGGACCUACCAGAAACUACGAAGGCAAUUGUUGUAGCUUUGGCCUUUGGAAGCUCUUUUAGUUGGCCCCUGAGUCUCCUUGAGAAAAUUCUGUAAGAAAAUUGAGGCUCAUGGAGUGUAAUUCAUUUGCCCAGAGUUGCAGUACUUAUGAAGCUACAAAUGGGACUCACACCUGGAAGCAAGUGAUUCCAAAAUCUACCAAAACCUUCCAGCUCCUGCUAUUGGGAAUGUGGCUAUGAUCCUCGUUACUGGUUAAUGAAAUUCCACAUGUGUACCAUUUUAAUGGAAUAAGACCUGGGAUGUAGAGCAACACUUCAGAGAAGUGUUAAAAAAUGUCUCCCUCUUGGCUACAUACAUGAAGUAAGAGUAUCUUAGAAGACAAAAGUAACGGAGUCAGGGGGAGAUUAGCUAGGCCUGAAGGGAUUAGUAGGGAAGGAAAUAGAUCAAGAGAAAAAGAUCUAAAUAAACUGUUGGAUGUGAGAAACUAAAUAGGUUUAGUUCUAUUAAGUAAAUCAUACAAAACUACGGACACGACUCUUCUUGACUUAACAAAAACAACAAUUUCAUUUAGUUCAAUCUAUACAUUUCUAUCAAAAUUUUUUAAAAAUGGGCCAUUUUUUCCUUUUAUAACUAAUCAGUGGAUAAAGCCAGAACAAAUGGGAUUGCUUUCCAGAAAGCAAUACAAUUUCAGAAAUAUCUUGCUCCCCUACCCUUAUUUAACUCUGAGGUUGAUAAUCUUAACAUAAUCUUCUCUUAAAAAUACAAAAGUUUUAUUUCAAAUGACAUUUCCUUAUUCUAAUUCAUUCUGAUGAAGAUUUUUGAGUCUCGUAAAACUUUCCCAAUCAUGAUAAUCUUUUGUUCUGAUUGCUGUUGCUGUUAGGAUUAUCAUUAUUGUUAGUAAUAAUAUUAGUAGCCACUGCUAUUGUCCUUAUCACCAUCAGUGUCGUUGUCAAGAUAGUAGUAUUUUCUCUUUUGCCAAGAAAGGCAUCAGAUAGCUAUAAGAGUAAAGCAGAGUGCAAGAUUUAUUUUGGGAAUGCUUGCUAAGCUGCUAUUCGUAUUUUAUGCUAUGACUUUAACCUCUCGGUUGCUUAGUUUCUUUAGCUGAAAAGUGUGGAUUGUGCCAAUUUUACAAGGUUACUAGAAAGGUCAAUGUUUGCAACUUUUAAAGCUUCUUUGGUAAGAGGCUCAGAGAAGGGAAAAGUAUUAUUCUACACUGUUUGGUACCUUCUGUCACAGGGCUAAGCUAUGAAUUUAGAAUCUGAUUAAAACAUAUCAUUUUUCUCUUUACCUGUCAAUUGUCCUCUUAUUGAAUAAUAAAUUGAAUACUGAAGUUGGCAUUUACUUAAAAAUUCCAUCAGAUUCAGCCUCCCUCUUUUCACUGACUGUUCCAAUUUCAUUUGCUUAAAAAAAUGCAUUUUUAGUGUGUCUGGACUGCAAAAUACUGAAUAAAAUUACCAUGAAAAAUAAGUAGAGUCUGCAUUAGAUUGAUGAAGUAAUUGAAUGAUUACAGUGAGCUUAAAAUAUCUUCUGAUAAGCAUAUACUUAUGAUUACCAUAAAAACCAAAUUUGAAAAAGAACUUUGU